rnacentral:tRNA from 1 species
GGGGAUGUAGCUCAGUGGUAGAGCAAUGUACUUUAGCAUGCAGGAAGCACUGGGCUCCAUCCCCA